rnacentral:rRNA from 1 species
GAUGAACGCUGGCGGCGUGCCUAAUACAUGCAAGUCGAGCGAACAGACGAGGAGCUUGCUCCUCUGACGUUAGCGGCGGACGGGUGAGUAACACGUGGAUAACCUACCUAUAAGACUGGGAUAACUUCGGGAAACCGGAGCUAAUACCGGAUAAUAUAUUGAACCGCAUGGUUCAAUAGUGAAAGACGGUUUUGCUGUCACUUAUAGAUGGAUCCGCGCCGCAUUAGCUAGUUGGUAAGGUAACGGCUUACCAAGGCGACGAUGCGUAGCCGACCUGAGAGGGGGAUCGGCCACACUGGAACUGAGACACGGUCCAGACUCCUACGGGAGGCAGCAGUAGGGAAUCUUCCGCAAUGGGCGAAAGCCUGACGGAGCUACGCCGCGUGAGUGAUGAAGGUCUUCGGAUCGUAAAACUCUGUUAUUAGGGAAGAACAAAUGUGUAAGUAACUAUGCACGUCUUGACGGUACCUAAUCAGAAAGCCACGGCUAACUACGUG